GUGACCGCCACCUCAGGGAGGAGAGACCGACCCUCGUCCCGCAUCGUGCCCCGCCCCGGCCUGCGUACGCACCGCGGUGGACGCGCUCCAGUACAGGCAGCGCCGCCUUUAUUGCAAUAGAGUGAGGUGUCACCGUGUCACCUCGGCAGCCAUCGAUCUACUUGGCAGAUCAGGAAAGCAGACAGCAAGCACAAGAAGAAACACAGAGGAGAAAUGAAUUCAGAAAGAAGUUUGUGAGGCUGGAGCAACAAAAACUCACCUCUGAGAGAGCUUUAUCCAACCUGGCAGCUAGCUUACCGAUCUCAUAGAAAAUCUGAGUAUUUGUAGCAAUUUUUGCUACAGGCGUACCUGGCAGAAUUUGAGCAGAGCUGAAAGGCAGCCACUACUGCUGCAGGAAGCUCACUAAUGCAGAGGCCACACAGCCUCAAAGGGAGGCUUGCCUUGGCCAGAGGACCUCAAACGAAGAAAGCAAGAUCUGACAGAGGAUUAGCUGUUCUGGGAAAAUUUGUAUGCAGCUUGUGAAGGUACGGCACAUACUCCUUAACUAGUGACUUCUUUCCAGACUCUGCAGCUAACUAUAGUUCAAGCUACCAGCACCCAGGACGGAGUCAAAGCUAAAGCCCACCUCCUGCAUCAACUGUGUCGCUGUGUGCAUCCAUCUGAAAAGAGCCCUAAAACUGGUUACCUCUUGAAAUACUACCAAAUGUAAAUAUUUUGUAAUUACUAUCAUUAAUACUGCUCUAUGACACAAAUUUUGAGAUUGUAUUAUUGACAAGUAACUUUCAUUAUAUAACCUCCAGAACAUAAAACAAGUUUAAGGCUAAAAGUUUAUAGUUUCAAAGCUUUAGGUCAAGUCAUUACAGAGAAUCUACAAAAGUGAAGGUAAAGGCUGUGUAAACAUGGCAGCACCAUUAAGAUCAAGUUAGUUGUCACUAGUCACAACAUACCUGCAG